CGGUGAGUAGAUGGAAGCUUCUCUAGCUAUAGCAAAAUGAACAUACCGCAUCAUCCCAUUAUAGGUUCCAAAUUCUAGUCCUGUUGCAAGACAGACGAAGCACUACAAGAGACAUAAAUUGAAAAGUAUCAGUCCUAAAGGUUUGUUUAGGUUUCAACUAGUUUUUCUUUAUCUUCAAGACUUGCUAGCUUUACUUAAUUCAAUUCUAUCAUAAUCAGUACUAUAUAUAGUAGCAUGUCUUCGAGCAUGCUAAAAGCCAAACGAUCUAAGAAAUAUAGUUACAAGUGAACCAAAUAUUCAGAUUAAAAACAAGGAAAAAAGAAAAAGUUAAAGCAAAUUUCAGGGAAGUUGAUCAAACAUUUUUAAUUACCAACUUCCCUGCUAGCAAUUCUGUAAAAAGGCUCAGAAAUAUAGUAGACCCAUGGCAGAUCUAGGAUUUUCCUCAAUUUAAGUUCAUGAUUAUAAAAAGGCAACAUGAAACCUACAAACAGGGAUCAUUAUUAAGUGUACACAAAUGGUAAAUUAUAAACCUAUUUAUACGUUAAAACGGUUAGGGAACAAGAAGUUUCCGUUCCCAACGAGCUAUUUUUCCAAAACCGUAAAAAAUCUUGUGUCGCUUAUUGGCAACACCUAUCCAAUAUCAAUUAAGCUCCUCAAAUUUGACGGUUAAAGUACUUCAACACGUGCAGCUAUUUGGAAAACGACAUUCCUUAGAUACAUCUUAAAAAUGUUAUGAAAAGAUUGAACUGAAUGGUCAACAACCAUGCACCAAACUUUACGACAUUCCUUAGAUUCAUCUAAAGAAAAGGACAUUCCUUAGAUUCAUCUAAGGAAAAGGAUAUUCCUUUUUUUUUUUUUAUCUAACACGAUGGCCUGAUUCCAUUUAUGACUAUUUGGCAGGAGCGGUGCUACCACUAGCCACAAGCCAGAGCAAGGGGCCGGCGACUGAGAGACUUGCAGAUCUAGGGUGUGGGUUUAGUACCGGGUCUGGGGAGAGAGAAAACGGCUUGAUUCAUAUGUUUUCGAUACAUAAAAUAUAAUAGGAAAAAGACAUUCCUUAGAUUCAUGUAAAACGCAUUACGACAAAGCUGAACUGAAUGUUCAACGAACAUGCAAUUCAACACGUGAAGCUAUUUGAAUUUUUUUUACUUUAGAUUCAUCAAAAACAUGUCACGAGGAAGCCGAACAGGAUGUUCAGCGACCUUGUAUCACGUACUGCUAAAUAUAUCUUUUCAACAUUAACCGAUCCCAAAAGAUCUUGUAUGAUCUGAGCACAUAUCUGAUCACUAGUAUCUGUGCAAGUCCACGAGUCCUAUCCUUUGAACACUACAAGAAUGAGCAACUCAAUCUCAGCUUAUAUAACCUAAUCCGAAUCAAUGGGCAAGGAGAUGCUUAUGCUGCAUGGUAUCAACUAUCUACACCAAGAAGUUUCCCGAACAAAGCAUGGUACUUAUGCUUUAUCGAAAUAAAGAUCAAAACAAUUCCAUGCAGUUAAAAUAAUCAAAAUUUUUAUCAUCCAAGCCAAUUAAACAAUUUAAAACACUGGAAAACCUUUCUCUAGUAAAGAACAAUGAAAACUUCAGAUCUGCACUUCGAACUAUCAAAACAGCUGUCAGGUAAUCAAGUGAAAGUCUUUAUUAUUUCGUAGGAUAUUUUUCCAUGCCUUACCCAAUCAACAUAAAAAAACACUCACAAUAACAUCACUAAAUUAAAAAAACAUAACCAUAAAAAAAAAAAUCAAAUUCCAACCCAAAUCUUCAAAUUUAAAAAGAUGAUAAAAAGAGUAGAGAAUUUGGAGGACCUCGACCUCGGUCCCGUCGUUCUCAACCUUCUUCCGCAUCACCCAGCCCUCAGAAUCGCAUAACUUCUGGGCGGUGCCAUUGGUCAGGAUAAGACCAACUCAACAAACUUCACACUCUGUGCAGCUCGACAACAACAAAAAGAGGGGCGUUUUAUCCUUUAGGAUUUGAUACGAACAAGGUGGCAAACAUGGUAAGCGAGGCCAGAAAGGGAGAGAGCUCGGUUGGCAAACAGGUGGCGCCAUGUUUUGGCGAGGAUGUGAGAGAAGGUAACGUAACAAAGAUGAUGAGGAAGAAUCUUAUCUGGGUUUUAGCUGGUUCUUGAAAGAGAGAGAGGGAGCUGCGUGUUUUCUGUGAGGGGUGGAGAGAGAGACACAGAGCGAGCCAAAGUUAGGUUUUAUGGGAAAAGCAGCCGUUACUGGUUUAAUUUUGACUGUGUGGAAACUAUUGUGUUAAACGGGCCAGGCCUAGAUGGUUGGGCCAUUAGAAGAGUCUAGACUAACAAAUAUCCUUCAAAUAAAUCUGAGAAAUUGUUUGAAAUUAUGAACAUGCAAAUCUAAAUUGUAGAAAUGAUCGCUU
rnacentral:lncRNA from 1 species